rnacentral:rRNA from 1 species
UUUUUCCUGCCCGUAACGAAGGGAGUCAGGUGGAGCGAGCGAGGAGUCUAGAUUAGUAAUAAAUUAGGAAAAGUGGAGGUCGCGGAGCGGUGUACUCGCGAGGGGGGAGGAGGAGGGGGAGGGGGCGAGGCUAGGGGGUCGGGCGGCGUUGGGAUCGGGGGCGGUCGUACGCGCCGCGCCGCCGCCUGCUGCUGAGGAGGCCGAGCAGCGGCAGCGCCUACAGCCUCCUGCUGCUGCUGCCGCUGCCGCCCCGCCCUGCCCCGCUGUCCACCCGCGGCCUAGACUCCCCGCCGUUGCCGUUGCCGCCCUCCACCCGCGGCGGCCUGGUCCACGACCUCUUGCACGACCUCUCGCACGAGCUCAAGGAGUGCCGCCGCGCGCUGGCGUUGCGCCGGAGCGAGCAGACGGCGAGGACCAUGGCGCGGCUCCGCGUCUGGGCGGCGCUCGAGAAGUAGCCGUUGACGAUGCGGCAGAGCGGCGCGGCGCGGCAGCUCGCGAAGCCCCCGCACGCGCGGCAGCACGAGUUCCCCUUCGGGGCGAAGCGGCUGAAGUCGGAGCACGGCGUGCCGACCCCGCGGAUGCAGAGGGGGACCCAGCGGCGCGAGCCGGGGCGGAUGGGCGCGGAGCUCGCGUAGACGGAGUUCGCCUACUGGCAGAGGCUGCUGCUCGAGCGCGAGUAGGGGUUCAGGAAGGGCGAGAAGUUCCUCGAGAGCGAGCAGACGACGCUGCCGAAGUGGUGGGCGCCGGAGCGGCAGUAGCGGCUCCCGACGGCCGUAGAAGCCCAUGACCUAGACUGACUUCUAAUAAAGGUACUCCUCCUCUCGCUCCACCACCUAACCUAGAGGUUCAAAGGUCUCUCGUUGUGCAGCGACCUUAGCGAACAUAAACUAACACAAUCACAGGGUAAGUUGAAACUCCGGGACCUCCGUGAACAACGUGCGAGUGGUCGAGACGCAGCAGACGCGCAGUUACUAGUACACAGCUAUCUCGUCAACGCAGCAGAGUACCGUUCCCGUGGGGUAGAUUGAGUGGAACCGUGACCUAGUAAGGCUAGACUCGGUCCGGGACCCCCACGAAACAGACACAGACUCGAGCGAUGGAGAAAGCGCCGCAGGUCUAGUGAACAAACAAACAGUCCAAAGAACCUACGGUUACGUCGUAUGGAGGGUCGUUAGAUGGUUCAAACACGGUUAGAGUGAAGGGAGUUAAAAUCGAAACGCCCAGAUUGUCUACUUCUCAAGUAUGGUCAAUAAGCGGUAACGUAGUUAGAAGCGUGAAAUACCCAAGAACUAUGACACCCACUACUUCCGGAAUCCCGACACCGACUUUGUACGAGUUUAGAGGCACUCGAUGCACAAAAAGGAGACCUACGGUGGCUCCUAAGACUCCCGAGUCAGAGUCUAUAACCAGAGGUCCGUUAGAGUCUUCCGACGGCUUUCGAGCUUAGUUAAGAGAUGAAAACGGUCGCGUACUGUUUACGUCGUCAUUAACGAUACAGGCUCUUGACGGGACUGGAAAACCACAAGGCGGAGACAUAAUACCCGGCGGUGGCGGGACUAGCCUAAUGGCCCCGCGGGUACCUACUCCCAAAACCCCGCUAACACUACUUGACGUUCUUCGAGUGGUCUGAGAGUCAGAGACCGGACGAGUGACUAUUCCGCAAACGUAUGUAACCCUCUGUGCCUUUUGAGUAUUUCUGAGACAGACAACGGAAACGACCCUUAUCACUGUACAGAGAAGUCGUACACAAACUCCCCACGUGAUCCAACGUCUUCGAGCUCCAGUCUCUAUCGGGAAAACCGCUGUUUCCUAACGAGAGACCGGACUUGAUAAAAAUGUUGUACUCCAAGAAAACCUACUUGAGUACGUCCGAUUGACACUUCCCAACACCCCUACAUCGAGUCGUUUACGGAUUAGACCACCAACUUCAUUACUUCCUUUUACUUCCCCUUUACCUAUGGCAACUAUUCGACAUGGACAUAGCUAGCAACCGUCCUGGUUCCCUUCUACGAGGUAGUAAACAGUUGUAGAACAUCAUGACGGUAACUUCUUCAAACAACAUGCCAGUACAAACAAGAUGAUAAGGGCUAGUAACGACAACAUAAGGACAAGUUCAUAAGGUCUCGGUCUCUCCUUCGAGGGGCGCCUACUAAAACUUAACACCCCUUAUACUUACGUAGUAAAUUAAUUCGUUUGGUAGUUAAUAAGAAGAGACCCGACUAACACAGCUCUGAACUUGGACAUGCUCCAAAGAAACUACAUACAUGGAACCACUCCGUAGAGUAGAACACUCAGUGACAUAAGGGUUACCUUAGACUCAAUAAAAGGACCGGUCGUGGUCUGACUACGGAAACAACAUGGCAUCAACUCAACAGCCUUGGCUAAUCACUAACGUGUCUCUAACCGACGUCCAACUGAGGUUAAGCCGUCGUCUCUAAAAUGUACCAAGGAAAACGGGAGUUCAGAGGUCGGUAACUACAAAACGGUGCAUGACAAGUCAGAUAGACGAGUCUGCUUCCUUGCCGUAAUAGAUACAACGUUACAAGGUAGUUGAAAAAACGGAACAUAAAAUCUAAUAGGGUCGAUGCUAUUUAAAAGAGAAGGGUAAAAAAUAUCAAAGGUGUUGAAUAAAAACAUCUAGUUACAUCUGGUGAUAGUGAAAAGGACCAGUGUUGGAAGACGACAAUAAUUAGUUCUUCUAUAACCUACUAGUUUAAGUCAGUCGUAGUUAAACAAUG